UUUUCUUCCUUUCUGCUGCAAGAAAAAAACACUUCUCCCCCACAUGACUGAAUGUAGCUCUGCUUCUGCUCUGCCUUAGACCCAUCCAAGUCCAGGAUCAAUGUCAUGGCUGUUUCACAGAUGCUGAACCAAGUGCUCAGGGCUGAGCUCAGAGCCUGCCCACUGUUCAGUCCCGAUGAGCUCAGUGAGCGCAGGAGGAGCUCAUCACCUCGGCGGAUCAGGCGGAUAUUGAAGCCAGCAAAGCCCAUGUCACAUGCUUAUAAAGGUCAGUCCCAUAUUUACAAAAGCCCAUCAGAGUUGAAUUGUGCCCUGAUUGAGAUUAUACUGGAAGGAAGACCUGGCUGUGCUGAUGUUGACAUGAUUUCCUGAGAAGGUAAAAUUCAGGCAUUUAUUUCUGAUGGUUUUGUACAGCACAGAGCUCACAGCCUGAUUUGUAUUCAGCUGCUGCAUAUUAAAGCUGGUCAUUGCUCUUGUAAAUGGUAGAUAGGAAGAAUUGCUAUACAGAGAAAUAUUUCCGCUGUUUUAGGGUAGAUUUUAGCUGUAGCCCUCUGACUCCUGAUAACCAAAGCCAGAGUGAUGUGUCUGGCAUUCUCUGCCCUGCACUCCUGGUUAUUUAUUCUGUGAUGUGCAGGAAGGAAGGAGACGUGUGCAAUCUCCAUUCUUGUUACCAGGAAUUGUGCACUUAAUUCUCUGUGCAUUGUACUGAAAAUGAACUAGUAAGAUGUGUUCUGCAUCAGCAAAAAGGCUCCCUUAUUCAGCUGGAAUGAGAACAUGCACACUUUAACUUAGGAGUAAAGAAAAUCGCUGUAAACGAUUUCUUUAAACAGAAUCUGUUGGGUUUUGCCUUCAAUUUUUGCUGAGAGCGAAGAUUCUGCAGAGGUUUUUUUCUCCUUUUUCCUACCCAAUUGCUAACCUUGCUGUUGCACGUGUUUCUGCUGCUUCUAGCACUUUUCAUUCUGAUGGCAGUUUUUCAUCUCUUCACUAGCUUAUGGCUAAAACAGUCCUUGUAACAGGAAUUUCAGUUACUCACUCUUCAGAAUAAUUAUUUCCAUUUGUUCCUGCUCUGAUCCUGGGGCAAAGGGCUUCCUCGUGUCUUGCCUUGAUGGAUCUGUCCUCCCAGUUCCUCUGCUUUGUACAAAUGUCUUUUCUGCAGGUGUUAACACCAGGUGACAGCAGAUCCCUGAGAUGUAUUUUAAGUCAUUCUUAGCUAAUAUGUGGCCUUUGCAUAUUAGGACUCAUUACUAGGACUGGAAUUUCCCAGCUGGCUACUCAAUUAAUAAAAAUGUAUUAGCAUACACAUGCACAAUUAUGGAAAUGUGGAUGAUUCUAUGACUUACUCAGUCUGAAAACUUUGCAGAACGCUUCACAGACAGGCUGUGAAGUAUCACUAAUCACAGCGCAGACUCCAAACACACACAGGGAAUGGAGUGGGUUCUCCUCACACUGUUACUCAACAAGUCCCUAAAAUAACCAGGGAAACACAUUCAAAUUGGGAUCUCCUCACCCACUCUUCUUUGUGAUAGCUACUACCUAGAUCCAAGGUGUUGUUUCUGUAGCAAAAGAGAGAAUAGAAAAUUUCAACUCAGAGUUUUUUACUGAAGCAAAGUCAUUUGUAUACUGUGAUUGUCUAACAGCACAGACCUACUGCUUUGUAUGGUGCCUAGAGCUUUUAAAAUUACAUCUAUUAAUGAGUCUGAAGGAUCUGAAGCAGAUAGAUAUCAACUAAUGAAAGAAUCACUAAAAUUAGAGAAAGAGUAGUGUCUUAUCUGCUCCUUCCACCUAACAGCUGUACUGUUCUGUACAAUCUUUUUUCCCAUCAAGGUGUGUAGGGUGAAGGUAAAAGCUCUGCAGUUCUGUAAAGGCAGAUGUUGGGGUACAGCAUGAGCACCUCCACACCAACCAAACAGCCACGUACCAAGGAAAGGACCAACAUCUGGAGCACUGGACAAGGCACAGCAGGGAUGGCAGAGAAUCCCUCUGGAGACAGAGCUCCCUGUGCUGGCACCUCACUGUGCUGUCCUCAGCCACACAGCUCAGAGAUCAUCUGCAGGAGAAAGCCACCUGCUACACCUAAUCUCUAAAUUUCAAUCAGCACAAAUCUUUCCUCCCUACCUGUGGAAAAGGAGUUUUAUAGGAGAGAAAUGAAGAUGACUACAAAGAAAAGUCUUCCUCUGAGGUUUGGGAUUUUUUGCAGUUGGGUCUCAGGUCUGGCAGAUGGCCGAAGUGGGAGUGAAGAGGAAGGUGAAGUGAUGCAGUCUCAGACUCUGGUCCCCACCAAAAGAUGCAGCUCCCAAGGCUCCAGUUUGACCAGUGAACACACAGAUCUGCAGAAGCACUGUCUGCUGAGAAACACGGCCCCAAAGGAGCCCUGUGGCUGUCCUUGGCCUCUUGGCAGCACAGAUGGGCAUCUCCAGCAGCCUGAAUUCCAGCUCCUGGCUCUGCUAUCCCAGUGAGGGCAGCACAUUUGCAUAGGGAGCCACUGGGUGAGUAAUACCUGCCUCUGCAGACAGCAAAUCCUGCACACACUUUGUGGUAAACCUGCUGCUGCUCUGGGCAGGGAGGAUGCACUUCACUCUGAAAGCAGAGGAUGAAAGACUCUGUGGCAACGGCUUCCUUUGAAAGGGCUGAGCCCAAUCCUCUGCACAAGCAACUGUUUAUUAUCAGAAUCGCUGAUCUCCAGAGCACUUAAUGCCCCUGCCUGCACAGAAGGCAGCCAGCACACACUGCAGCCUCACAGCCUUCAGUCUGACUUCAGCAAUAUCGCUGCUAAUUGCAAUAAAACAGCGGGUUUAAGGCA